CCUACGGGUGGCAGCAGUGGGGAAUAUUGCACAAUGGGCGCAAGCCUGAUGCAGCCAUGCCGCGUGUAUGAAGAAGGCCUUCGGGUUGUAAAGUACUUUCAGCGGGGAGGAAGGUAGUGUAGUUAACACCUGCACUAUUUGACGUUACCUACAGAAGAAGCACCGGCUAACUCCGUGCCCGCAGCCGCGGUAAUACGGAGGGUGCAAGCGUUAAUCGGAAUUACUGGGCGUAAAGCGCACGCAGGCGGUCUGUCAAGUCGGAUGUGAAAUCCCCGGGCUCAACCUGGGAACUGCAUUCGAAACUGGCAGGCUAGAGUCUUGUAGAGGGGGGUAGAAUUCCAGGUGUAGCGGUGAAAUGCGUAGAGAUCUGGAGGAAUACCGGUGGCGAAGGCGGCCCCCUGGACAAAGACUGACGCUCAGGUGCGAAAGCGUGGGGAGCAAACAGGAUUAGAUACCCGGGUAGUC
rnacentral:rRNA from 1 species